GUGCCAGCCGCCGCGGUAAUACGGAGGAUGCGAGCGUUAUCCGGAUUUAUUGGGUUUAAAGGGUGCGUAGGCGGUCUGAUAAGUCAGUGGUGAAAGUUUUCAGCUUAACUGGAAAAAUGCCGUUGAUACUGUCAGGCUAGAAUAUGGUUGCUGUGAGUGGAAUGUGUGGUGUAGCGGUGAAAUGCUUAGAUAUCACACAGAAUAUCGAUUGCGAAGGCAGCUCACAAAGCCAUUAUUGACGCUGAGGCAC
rnacentral:rRNA from 1 species